GUCCACGCUGUAAACGAUGUGUGCUAGACGUUGGGGAGCCUAGCUCUCCGGUGUCGAAGCAAACGCUUUAAGCACACCGCCUGGGGAGUACGGCCGCAAGGUUAAAACUCAAAGGAAUUGACGGGGGCCCGCACAAGCGGUGGAGCAUGUGGUUUAAUUCGACGCAACGCGAAGAACCUUACCAGCUCUUGACAUGCCUCGUAUGGGUGGGAGAGAUCCCAUUCUUCGGUUCGGCCGGCGGGGACACAGGUGCUGCAUGGCUGUCGU
rnacentral:rRNA from 1 species